GGCGGCAUAACUCAGCCUGGUUAGAGUGCCACGCUCAUAACGUGGAUGUCCCGAGUUCAAAUCUCGGUGCCGCCA
rnacentral:tRNA from 1 species